GAACUAUGGGAGUUUAUCACACUGAAAGACCAUUUAUAUGUGUGUCUGUGGAGAUGUAUGAAGAAGGUACCUGCCAUGUUUGGUAGUAUCUUAUGAUGGAUUUCCAGGAAGAUUAGAUAAAAAGACUUCACCAGACUGCCAGAAGAAUCCAGGACACCAAGAAGGUUAAAAACACCUGCUCUGCUACAAAUUACACUGGAUUGAAAAGCAAUUAAACUGUUGCAUCUGUCUUCCUUUAAAAGCUGAUUUGGAUCAACACAGUCAAUCUGAAAGACUACUAUUAAAGAACACAAAAAAACA